rnacentral:rRNA from 1 species
AGUGAACGCUGGCGGUAGGCCUAACACAUGCAAGUCGAACGGCAGCACAGUAAGAGCUUGCUCUUACGGGUGGCGAGUGGCGGACGGGUGAGGAAUACAUCGGAAUCUACUUUUUCGUGGGGGAUAACGUAGGGAAACUUACGCUAAUACCGCAUACGACCUACGGGUGGAAGCAGGGGAUCUUCGGACCUUGCGCGAUUGAAUGAGCCGAUGUCGGAUUAGCUAGUUGGCGGGGUAAAGGCCCACCAAGGCGACGAUCCGUAGCUGGUCUGAGAGGAUGAACAGGCACACCGGAACUUAGAAACGGUCCAAGCUCCUACGGGAGGCAGGAGGUGGGAAUAUUGGACAAUGGGCGCAAGCCUGAUCCAGCCAUACCGCGUGGGUGAAGAAGGCCUUCGGGUUGUAAAGCCCUUUUGUUGGGAAAGAAAAGCAGCAGGUUAAUACCCCGCUGUUCUGACGGUACCCAAAGAAUAAGCACCGGCUAACUUCGUG